GCCAACGGCCAUACAACGUUGAAUACACCGGUUAUCAUCCGAUCAUCAAGGUUAAGCAAUAUCGGGCGUGGUUAGUACCUGGAUGGGUGACCGCCUGGGAACACCGCGUACUUUUGUCG
rnacentral:rRNA from 1 species